UCCUGUAGUCCAGUGCUGGGAAGACUAGAAUUUCUCUACUUCCAUGUCCCAUGCAGUACCAAGGGUUCGCUGAAGCCAGAAGCUCUGGAGAGGCCUUAAAGCAGAAAAUGGAAGUUUUGCUGUGAAAACACCUAAUAUAACAGCGACAGACGUUCUGUGCCACGGCAUGCCAUGCAUCAGGUGGACAUGGUGGGGAAGCUGGAAAGGAGCUGAUUGGUUACUGUUUGGUUCCCUGUGACUGUAUGGUAUGCCAACUGGAGAUUGGCACUUGCUGUCUGCCUCUACAAGGAUGGACUCGUGAGCCGCUGCAACUGCUGACCCUCAACCCGUCCCGAAAGGAGCUCAGGAUGGAGGUCCAGAGUGACACCCUCUGUGCUCUGGGAAAACUGGCAGAACAGGACUUUAAAUAGUUAGAUAUUUCCAGGUGAUAAUUUUAUGAGCCCAAUUCUUGCAUCUCCGCCUAUCUAGAAAAGCACUAAAAUCCUUCACAGUGACAUCUGCUCCCUGUGACUAGCAGUAACCUUCACAAGACUUGCAGCAACCUUCUGCCAAAGGUGUGUUUAACUGCUGGUACCCCCUUCACUAAAAUCAUAAAUAACACUGACUUUCCACCCUACCUCUUUGGAGUGGUUUCUCAGAGCUCUCUGAGAGACUGUCUCCCAGGCUAUAGUUUUUAUUUUGUACCAAAUACCAUUUAACUCACAAUGCUCAUAUUGCACUUUUUAUUUUUAUUUUUUCCAGUUGAUAACAUCCUAUCUAUAAAGCCACAACUAUUUUAUCUGCUCUUGAUUGUGCAGGUCAGGACUUCACAGAAGGCUCUGGUGUUCCUGUAAGAGGCAGGGUUUCUCACUCAGGAUUGGUCACCAAGGACAGCUCCAAGUUCCUGGCACAACCCAGUAGCAUCACACAAACAGCAACCAGCUUCCCCUGCUGGCUGCCUUUAUCCUUUCUCUCCAAGUAGGAUCUCUCAGGAUCCCUCCCUUCCUGCAGGGGUCUGGACUUCUUACGCGGUAGCUCCAGGCUACAGAGAGAGCAAAAGCAGGUGCUGCUGUCAGAGAAGCACAAAGGCAGACAUUCGUUACAGUGGUCAGAACAGCUUACUCUGAGAAUAACCAUUGCAGGAGGGAAGAGUCCAGCAUGAAUGGAACUGAAUUUCACUGAGAGAAAAGGCAGGAGAGCAUAAGGCUGGCAUACUACGGGGAAGGCACUGAGGGGUGAGAGGAGGUAGUGGGACGAAGCCUCUGGGUCUACCAAUUGGCACUCAUUCAGAGAAAAACAUACUUCUCAGAUCCUGAUGACAGGAGGCAGUGGGGCAAGCUGAAGCAAGGCAGCCACUGAAAUUAGGCCCUUAUAUUUCCCCAAGAACUAGGGGCUAGAGCAGCAGUUUUCUCCCUGAACGUUUGCAUUCCAGAGAGGAGACUCUUAAGUCCUUGGAGAAAUAUUCUGGGUAGCAGAUUUACAUCUCAAAAGGAUUUUAUAAUUGCAAGCUUUCUAAAGUAACUGCUCUGGAGGACAUUCAGGGACCUAUCUAGCAAGAGAAUUCAGCUGGGACAGAAAAUAUAUUCUGGUGGUGUUGAGCUUUCUCAGGCAGAUAUGUUACUCAGAGGGUGGGGUCAUCCUUAGGACGAGGCUUAUGCUGCUAGAAGCCUUGCUAGAGUUUGGUCCUCUCCUAGUGCAAGAGGUUUGGACGGAGCCAUUGUGUGUGAGCAUUUUAUAGUUAUUCACUGCCAGGCACUCUCAAGCCCUAAGCCCACAAGUCCAAAGCCUCACUUCCUCUACAUUCCCUUGAUUAAAAGCAAGUCUACAGGCCCAGCCCAGAUUCAAAGGGAUAAGAUUGCUUAAGAGUGAACACUAAGAGGCUGUGUUUAUGGGGCUCACAAUUGAAACUAAAACCACAAUUGCUUUUGUCUCUAUCCAUCAUGGACCAUUCUUAUGGGGCAGAAUAUUCAUGCUAAGGCCAUAAGCCAACUCCUAGGCAAUUGCCUCACUCCCAGGCUCCACCUCCACCCCACUAUGGCAAAGGUGGUUGGAAUCACCACCAUGAACUUGUUGUCCAAAAAACCCCCUCAGUCUCUGUCCACUAGUGCCAAAUAUAAAUGCUGAAAUAGUUUCAGGUAAAGGAGAAAAAAAAAUAGCUUCCAUCGCUUUGCCAGGCAAAGCAGGCCAUAGCAGGUUAAUGCCUUAAAGACUGUGCCCUACAUUGGCAGAGAAUAGGAGAUGAUCUUAUAGUUUAGGAAUGGAAAAUAGGGCCGCAGAUAUGGAUUGGGGUAGGUGGAAGCUUGCAUUCUUCAAAGCUGGUAUUUAGUGGCCCCAGACUGGUUGUGGCGGUCCUCCUUCUUUCGGAAUGCUUCAUCAAGUAGUUAACAUCUUCCAUUUGUUGAAGGUUUUAGUUCUGCAGAAGAGUUCAAAGAUAUUGUUAGGCAUAUCCCUGGAGAGGGCAACAGGACCCUGCCCCAAGGCUGCACUGUUGUUUCUUGACUGCUCCUCCCUUUGUUCAGCAACCCCCUCCCUUCCCUGAUUAGCAAAUGUUUGCACCUGACCUUUGGAACUCAGGGACAGUCAAGGAGACUGAAGCUUAUUCCCUAAAAAACAAGAAAUGGGGGACACAAAGGUUUUUGUGGCCAGGAACCCCAUAGGGUCCUGCUCAUUUUCAAAAUCUCCAUUGAGCAAGAAAAUCUACACAAAAGACAUCCCUCCUGGGAGCUUUUUUGAAAUAGGUGUUCUGGCACAGCAGACAUUCAGCAUUUCAUGAGACUCCUUAGUGUUGACAAUGAGGCUGGAAAUCAGCUCUGAUGUUAGGCUCUCAGAGAACAGUUAGUUGUUGUGUGCUAGGGAUUCCGAGGUAGAUGGACUGCUGCAAAUGAUUAUUUUAAAAUAUGGCCAGGAUUUUUGCUGUGGUUGUAGUUACUGUUGUUGGUUUUCAUGGCUUCAUGUCAUCAGCAGGAAAGAAAUCCUACUGGCAGGACCUCAGAAUCCUACUCUUCUGGCUUUUUUCUAACUCAGGUCAGUUUUAUUGGCACAUAUGGCAGAAGUUAAUACAAUUUAAUUUGGGGGGACUUGAGGUCAAGUAUAUGUAUCUUCUAGAGCAGCACUGUCAUCACAUAUUCAAAGGGCUCACCUGAAGGGUGAUGCUCUUUCACUCUUUAUCAAAUUUCCAAUAUGUGGUUGCAACUGCACCCCUUCUCCCACAAGAGUCAGGUUGGAAUGUGAAUGUGAGAGAUUACUGCCAACUAAAAAAAAAAAAAA
rnacentral:lncRNA from 1 species